rnacentral:lncRNA from 1 species
GCAAAAGAUCUUGAGCAACUCCGAUUCCUUGGAAUUUUGGACUGUAAUAUGAUGGAACAAGUAAUAUUCACGGAUGGAUUGGUUGAGGAACAUCAAGGGAGGAAUCAGAUGUUUUUCUUUAAUCAACGUUCGCUGUGGCUAAACGACCUUCCCAAACUCACAAGUUCGUGCUUUGAAAAUUACUUUGAAUUUCACUGUUUAGCAGAUUUAACACUAAGAAAUUGUCCAUUGCUAAAAACAUUCAUCUCUAAAUGUGUACCCGGAGAUGAACCUCAAAUUGGCCAACAUGUACAGGCAAGUAACUUGGAGGUUCAUAACUCAUCUCUCCUCAAUGAAAAGGUCAUUUCUUCACGGAUUCUCCUUUUAAUUUAUUUUACUUCGAUUUAUCUUAUUCAUUUGAAGUUCUUUCUUUUUCAUACAUAUUUCAGUAUUAACCUAAUGAUAUGAUUUAUUAGGUUGUUUUCCCUAGUUUGAAGAGGCUGCAAAUUCAAAAUUGUGAUUUGUUAGAAGAAAUUAUCGAGCUGCAAGGAGUCAUUGCUGAUGAGUCACAGUCAACAUCAGCUGCUCAAUCUAUUGUGGCUGAAACAGUGACGACCAAGUUUGUAUUUCCCAAACUAAUAAACCUGGGAUUGGAUAAGGUGCCAAGAUUGAAAAGUUUCUACUCUAGGAUGCAUACCACCCACUGGCCUUCAUUGAAAAAAAUGGACAUUAUUGAAUGCCCCAAAGUACAGAUAUUUACUCCACAAUGUCCCGGGAGUCAGGUUGGAAUCUCAAACCAACAACCCUUGUUUUGCGUCAAUGAGGUAAGCUCGCGAACAGUUUCAUAUUCCAUGAUCAUUACUUGAGAUUACCUAUAAAAUGCUUUUUGAAAAAACUAAUAUUCUCUCCUCUUUUAAUUUUAUGAGAGUCUAGUUCUUACUAAUUUAAAACUCUUUCAUCGAUGUCUAAUAUAUUCUUUGCCAUCCAGGACACUUUCCCUGUAUUAGAAGAACUAACUCUGAAGACGAAUGAUAUGGGGAAGGGGAUAUGUGAUGGACAACUCUCAUUGCAGUGUUUCCAAAACCUUAAGCAUCUUAACCUCCAAUUCUUUCCCGAGACAUCCACUACUCUUCCGUAUUCCUUCAUUCGGUCACUACCAGUGCUUCAUAAGCUUGUUAUAGACAAUGCUUCCAUUUGUCAAAUAGUACAAUCUGAAGGACUCAGCGACUAGGAAUGGCAUACAUCAGCAUUCUAUCAGCUAAAGGAAUUAAGUUUGUCUCAACUUCCAGAGUUGACGUUAAAGACUUUUGAACCAUCUUUGCUGUCUUUCAAAAAUCUAACAACACUGAAAGUUUCAAGAUGCCAUGGGUUCAUCAAUUUAAUCGCAUGCUCAACAGCUAAGUGCCUGACGCUACUGGAAAGAUUGAUCAUAGAUGAUUGUGAGAUGAUAGAGGAAAUCAUAGCGUGUGAGGCUGAAGAAAUACAAGGCGGCAUUGUAUUUCCCAAACUGAAGUAUUUGCAACUAAGUUGUCUGCCAUGUCUAGCAAUCUUUUCCUUGGCCCAUCACUUGUUGGAAUUCCCAGUCUUGCUAAUGUUGAUGGUGACAAAGUGCCCCCAAAUGAGGAAUUUCUGCCAAGGAGAUUUAAGCACGCCAAGGCUGGAACAAAUGCACUUAACAAGAGAUGAGGAAGGUGAACUGAAGUGGGAAGGCGACCUUAACACUACCAUAAAACAUAUGUUCGAUGAAAUGGUACAAAUCAUUUAAAGGAUUUAAAUUCAUGUGUUUUUACAUACAUACAUACAUAGUUAAUUGAACAAUUCCUGGUUUGUUAUGAUCAUGCACAGAAUGUGCAAAAUUCUGAGGUGACGGAGGUUACUGAUCAGUUGCCCAAUCUGGAAUAAGGAAAUAUGUUUGGGUGCUUAUGCGAAAAGCUCAAUUUCGUUUGAAUUCAAAACAAACGGUAAUUGACUCCUCUAUUUUCAUCAUGGCUUAACUAAUGCUUUAUAAAGUGACCAUAGAGACGCCCUUUUCAUUGUAGGUUGAGUUGCUCUACUGAAGUACGAGGCUGCAACUUUUGGUAAAAUGUGAAAGGUUAUUUCAGUUUUUGUAAAACUACCAUUUGAACUGUUCCAUUUCACAUUAUACCCUCAAAAUUGAACUUCAAGUGCAUCAUGCUUGGCAUUGGGCUACAAACAUGUAAACUUUUACUAGUAAGGUUGACCCCUGUUUUAAGGAUUUGCCAACUUUUGAUGGUUACCAUAUCAAUGUCAGCUUAAAGCUAUCAAGUAUCUUUACAAAUAUAAUAUAUAUAUAUUAUUCCUUAAUGAAGGAUAAAAGUAGGCAGCUAUCUAUUAAUGGUACGGCUGAUUCUGAAAAGACGGCUGAAAUUGAAUCAAUGGGUUGUUGGUAAUUGCCUGAUGGAAGAACAGGGCCUAAUGUUACGUGGAUCCUGAUCAAGUUUUAAAUUUUCAGUUGUAGGCAUUACUGAUUAUUGCCAUUUGGUUGUUGAUCCUCUGAUUUUACGGUUGACUGUCUUGCUUAUACGUUGCAAGGUUGGCGGGUCUCAAGUAUGAAUUUCCAAGCCGGCUGUCAUCCAUAAUUAACUAAGUGUUCCAAUCUGUUGAAAGGUGGUUAGCAUGCAGCAUUGAAGACCACCAUGCAGAAGCAGCAGUUUGCACGAGAAAGCAAGGAUGUUUAGUUUCAUUUGAAUUUUUUUUUUUGUUUAUGUAAUGUAAUCUAGUUCAUUUUGAACUAUGAUAAGAUGAUAUUUGAUGUAAACUUGAUGGUGAUUGAGCUGUUUACCAGCUUUAUUCAUUUGCACAAGUUAUCAUUCCAAUUUACUAGGAAACUUAGUGGUAGUAGGUAUAGUUUUGGUUAACCUACUGUCUUGACAAGCUAGAAGCUUGAUUUAUGUAUUGGCAUUAAGCCUUUUUUUGAUGAAUGAAUUUAAUCAAGUUUUCAUUCAAAAACUCUCACCAUUCUCCUUGCUUUAUUCUUUUUAGUUUUCUGCUUGUUUCUGCUGCAAGUCACGACACUUGCUGCUCAAGCAAUAGGCUGAAACUUGUUGUUAGUUGCUCUCAGCUCCAACAGAAUCCAUGGAGUUUAUGGUUUAUUAGUGUAACUGUCCAUUUGGUUGUGGAUUGGUUCUUAAGGUGUUUUGAUGCUUGUAUGUUACAGUGCCUGCUCCAAGCAACACCCUUUAAUUUCUAAUGAAUUUUAUUUGUUGAGGAAAAAAAUAUGAGGAUUAAUCUGAUAUUUUAUGUUUGGGUUUAUGAAGAUUUUUGUACCUUUAAUGAAAAAAGCAAAUAAAAUAGAGAGGUACAAGAUCACAUCCAUAGAUCAACAAAGGGGUUUAAUAUUUCUAUAAAAAAAGUUGUCCCAAAAAGGCCUUCUAAUGGGAAUUGAAAAAAAAGCUUGUAAAAAUUUACAAAAGGAAUUGAUGAGAAUCUGAUACAGCCAUCACAUGCGACAGCUUUCCCUUAAAAGCAUUCGUGGCUGAGUCUAGUCUUAAUUUUUAUUUGUAUCUUUUAUAUCCGUUUUAUAAUUCAUAUUUAAGAUUUGUAUUAUGCGCUUAAUAUUUCAUUAUUUGUUGUCUAUGAUGCUCAUUCUUGAAAAAAAAAACAAACAAACAAAUGCAAUGCAUGCAUAAACCAUAAAAAAAAUAAAGAACAUAAGCAACUAAUAAUGAAAUAUAUUAAAAUGAAGACCGGUAAUUGAUUUAAGAAUUACCCUAAUUUCGGUAAAUAUAUUAAAACAUGUGUCCCUAAUCUUUUUCAAUUUUGAUAUUGAAAAAAUUGGUAUUCUUAAAAUUAUGAGAGUUAUUCAAUUAUUUUCAUUUUUGAAAUUGAUAAAUUAAGGACAAUUAAUCACAACGUUAAUGUUUUUAUCAAUUAUAUAUGAUUUUCUUGAUAUAAUGAUAAAUUUAGUCCUCAAAGUUUACACAUUCUAUCAAUUUGUUAUUGAUUUAACAAAUUUAACCCACAAUAUUUACACAUUUCGUCAAUUUGAUCAUGAUUUAACAUAUUUAACCCGUAAUAAUUAUACAUUCUAUCAACAUUUACGCAAAAUAUAUAAUCAUCAAGGAUUAAAUUUGUUUUUAUACUAAUCAAAAUUAUGUAUAAUUAACAGAAACUAUUAGCGCUUGAUUAAUUGUUCGUGGUUACUUUCAAAAAAGAUAAGGAUUAAUUUGUUCAAUAUCAAAAAGAUGUUUUUUAUUUUUAUUUUUUAAUUUCAUAGGUAAGAAAAUCUCAAAAAAAAGAAAAUCUUUGAAAUAAAAAAUAGAAUGUUUUAUAUAAUUAUUUGAAGUUACUCUCACGUUAUUUUUACCCAUUCAAAGCUAGCAAGUCUUUAUGUACAAAAUGGUAUAGCUCUGCAAUUUGGAUUAACAUUUUGGUGACCUCCAUGUGAAGUGAAAGAAAAUUGAGAAUGUCACACAAUUAUUAUUUUUGCCUCCAUACCCCUAUGCCACCAAAGAAAGUUGAAUUAUUAAGGCACAAAAGUACUAAGGAGUAGGAGCUAGAAAAAGAGGGGCAUGAAAAUAAAGAGACUUACAUUUAUUAUUUGCAUAAUACAAAAUCAGUCUUUAAUAUUUACAUAUUUUAUUAAUUUGAAUUUUAUUUUUAUUUAGUUAAAUUUAACUUUAAACCCUUUAAAAAAAGUUAAAUUUGAUCAUCAACAUUUUAAAAAGAGUCAAAUUAUUAUUUAACGGAAAUGUUAAAUUUUGAAAUACAUAUAACAAUUCGCGUGUAUUUCAUAUUAUUUUUUUAAAUUUUUUAUAUUUUUUUGAAAUUUUUAUUUUUGAAUAUUGUUAGAAAAAUAUUUGGAACAUUGUUAGUGGAGUUUUUAACCUCCACCAACAAAAUUAAUGGGUUAAUAAGUGUCUUACAGGGAUAUAAUAAAAUAUUAAUAUAUAUAUAUUAAAAUAUAUAUAUAUAUGUUAAUUUUUUUAAAGUUGUGGAAUAAAAAUAAUAUAUUAUUGGCAUACCAAAUACUCACCUUUUUAAUUAAGAUUUAAAAAUAAAAAAUAGUUAGUAAAAUGAAUGGAUUGCAAAUUGAGAAAUUUGAUAUUGAAUAUUAAAAUUUUCUUAAAAAGAAGACAUAUAGCAAGAUAAGAAAGUUAGUGAUUUAUUUGAUUUAAUUUUAAUUUUUAAAUUGAUGCAUUUUAUUAUGAAUUUUUAUUCUUUGUGUAUUUUGUAUAAUUUGUUUGAAAUUUUCAAUUUUCAAUUUCUCACAUGAGUUUGAGAUAUAAAAAAAAUUACUCUUAGGAUUGGUGAAACAGUGGAUACAAGAGUUCAGCUUAUCAUAUAUUGAUGAUUUUGUUCUUCGAAAUAUUGUCUACAGAUAGGAUAUCAGAGUUCUAUUAAUUAGAGUUCCGUUAAAAAGUCGAAAUUUCUAUUUUAGCCUAGGACUCUAGGAGUUCUGUUAUCGAUAUUCUAAUUAUGAUCAUGAUCUAUAAAAAAUAUGAGUAACAUGUGAUACGUAAAUGAAAAUUUUUAUGAUAUGAUAAGUCAUAAAUUAAGUGAAAAUGUAUGAAAGUGUAUGAUUAUAUGAAAGACAAAAAUAAUUAAUUUAAUUUAAUGAUCUGUAAAAUUGAAAAAUGAAAUACAUGAAUUAUAUAAGAGAAUGUUGACGAUCAAUAUGUGGUAUGUAAAUGAGAAGGAAAAAAUUAUAUGACCAAAUACUAAAAUAAAUGAAUAAUGAAAUUAACUAAAUACUUUGUAAGUUCAAUAAUUUAAAAAAUUGUUAUUUUUCCCAUUCAAAGUUGAAAAGUCUUUUAUGUGAAAAAUAGUGUAGCUCUUCAAUUUGGGUAUAACAUUUUGGUCUUCUCCAUGUGAUGUGGAGGAAAAUUGACAACAUCACACAAUCAAAUCCAUUUUUUCUGCCAUACCCUUGUGCCUCCGAAGAAAGUUAAAUUAUUAAGGCACAAAAGUACCAAGGAGUAGAAGCUACCAAAAGAGGAGCAUGAAAAUAAAGAGAGAUACAUAUAUUACUGGCAUGAAAUAUUUACAUUUUUUAUUAAUUUGGAACUUCUUGCCUUUUACUACUAGCUUGAUUUGUAUCAUCGCUCUCACCUUUUUGAGCUUGUAUCUGAUAGUGAAACCAAAGAUUAGUGAAAGCCUUCGCACCAAAACUGAGUUCUAGGAACUGCAAUAGGAUCAAUUUCAACAACUCUAAUGGGAUAUUAAACAUUCCCAACUCUUAAGAUCACCAUCUCAUCAAUUUUACACAAUUAAAAUGAAUGUUUCCCUUCACAAAAGGUUUAGGAUGAGCAGCACCAUCGUCCACACUAAUAAAACUUCCCCAGUGAUUGGCGAUGUUUUUAAAUGUAGAGAUCGGACAAGCAUGGAUCGGAACCCCUAAAGUUGUUCUAUAAUUAACCAAAAUGUUUUCAGACCAUGACUCAACUUUUGUGAACCACCUCAUCGAAAUUUCAAUAAACUCUUUUAUAACCUUCUCCACCGUUAAACUCCAUUAGCAACUUGGAGGCCACCCUCUUCUAACCGCAGAGCAAGGUUCUCAAGAGUACAUAAAUCUCUACACCAUCCCAUAAUACAAAUUGUAGCUUAGAAAGUUUUUCUUCCUCGAUAAUCCCAUCUAUAGGAAUUGACUCUAUCUCUUUCUUACCUGUAGCCACCUCCUCCAUGAAACAAUUCUUGUUUAUAGCUUUUUCACCUCCGAGGGUUCCACUCGUAUCUAGAGAAUCCUUUGAUACCUCCAGAGCCUUUGAAGCGUGCAAAGUUGACCCAUAUUCUAUGUCCAAAUAAAUGGAACCGUUCAGACGAAGCGUCGCCCUUCUUGCAUCAGUAAAGUUUGCGAAUCUCACAAAACCAAAUCUUUCUCCUUUUUAUGAAGACAUCCAUAACCCUGCCGUGAUACUCGAAUAUCUUCCAAAGACCUGUCCAUUGCAUUCGUGGAGGACGAUUCACUACAAAAACAGUAACACAACUCUGUCCAGUGUCCACCACCCAACCCAUUACUCAUUAAUAAAACUCCUACUUCAUCACUUAACUAAAGCUUUCUUUUUGAUAUUUUUAUAUAUUUUAAUUUUGUUUUGUAUUCAAAUAAUUUGAUAAUUAACUUUUAACAAUUAUCCCAUAGUUUUUACUAUAAAUUUAAGGAAGACAAUCUUGAUAAAAUUAGUUUGAGGUAGGAACAGUUUAUUGGAACAGCGUAGUCUUUUAUAGGAUUAAAAAUAUUAAUGCAAGAAAUAAAAAACAAGUGAUUAAAGGUUUAGAACAAGCAAUCAAACUUAUUUUAUGUUAAAAUUUUCGAACAAUAUGAAAAUAUAUAAUUUUAAUUGUUCUUUUACCAAUUAAAUUGAUUUUUGACAGGUUUAACUAUUGACUUAAAAAAGAGUGUUAAUUUGAAUGGUUAAAUGUAAUGAUGCAUGGUUUGUCUGACAUCGUCACAUGGAAAAUGGGAUUAAAAAUGGAAAUUAAGCAAAGGCAAAAUGAAUAUAUUUAUUGUUUUCUAAUUUGGUGUAGGGUGCCAUAUUUGUUGAUAGCCACUCACUAAUACAUUAUAAAUGGAAUAAUUGCCUAUUUUACCUUUUUCAUGAAAUUUAUUGACAUCACCAGCUCAUUUUUCAACCACAUUACUCAAAUGAUUGACAGAGAGAGGUAAAAGUAAUUUAUAAAUGUAUUUCUUUUUUUUCGAGUAUAAUUUGUAUUUAUUUCUAGCCAUUUUUAUAAAGUUAUUGUUUAAAAAAGGGGUAAUUAUCAAAUUCAUAUAUGAUUUGGAUCCAAUGUACAAUUUGAUACAAACUACAAUUUGGUGUAAUUAUACACAUAAACUUGAAUUGUGAUUCAUAUGAGCACAUGAAACUUUGAUUUUGAUUCAAUUGUAUGCAUUUAAUGAAUGUAUACGUUUAAAAAAAAUGAAUAUUUACAUUUAUUUUCAUAUUUGAUUAUAUACAGGGGCGAAACCAGAAAAUUCUUUUAGGGGGCUGAAAUUAAAUUGUAAUUUUUACGAUAGCAAAAAUGUAAUUUCACCAUUUUAAUGGCCUAUAUCUUUAUAAUUUUUAAAUGAUUAAAUCAAAUUUUAUAUUUUUAGCGGAGCAAAGUACAAUUUUACCUUUACUAAUUUAAAAUUUUAAAAGGCCUAAAUAGAAAAUUCACCAUUUCAAGGGGACUGAGACUAGAGGUGAUCAUGGGUUGGGCCCACCCGAAAAAUAGGAGGGUCCAAGUAAAAAUAUAGACCCAAAAUAUGGGUUUCGGCAAAAAAAGAAGCCCGUUUAAAAAACGGGCCGGGCUCGGGUAAAAAUUUUUUGGCCUAGGCCCAACCCGACCCGGCCCGAAUUAUAUAUUAAAUAUAUAUAGUUUUUAUUUUUAAUCAAAUAUGUAUUAAAUAUAUACUUUUUUGGUGUUGUACAAUUUGAUAUGGGUUGGGCUCGGGCUUAGCAAUUUUCUUUUGGGCCGAGCUUGGAUAAAUUUUUAGGCCCAUAUUUUGGGCCCAGCCAAGCCCGAGCCUAAAAAAUGGGCCUAAAAUUUUGUCUGGGCCCUGCUCAGCCCAUGAUCACCUCUAACUGGAACCCCUGUCAGCCCCUUAGUUUCGCCCCAAAUUAUAUAAUAGUUUGUAUAUGCAAUAUAUCAACGUAAAAUUGUGCUAAUUCAAUAAUAUUGUUAGUGAUUUCUGAAAAUUGAAUCAAAUCAAUAUUUCAUAUAUAAAAUUGUACAAAAUCAAAGUUCAUAUACAACAUAAAUAAAUAAAUAAAAAGUUCAUAUAGAACAAUAUACAUUAAAUCAAAAUUUAUAUAUAAUUUUGAUAUUUAUCUCAUUCUUUAUUAAUUAUAACGUGUGAACGAGGUGAAUCCAAAUUUUGUCAUUUAUUUUCCUACCAUCUUUGCGAAAUAAAUUUCAACUUAAGAAGGAAAAAAUAAUUAACAUUUUCAAAUUCUAUCAAGAUAGACAUGUUCAUAGGUCAGACUCUCGGCUUAGGUUCAAAAGUUCACUAAAAUUUUGGGAGGGUUUGGAUAAAAAUAUCAUACCCAAAGAAUGGACUCGAGCAAAAAAAAAAGACCUGUUUAAAAUAUGGGUCGGGCUCGGGCUUGAAUAUUUAAGGCUAGACCCGUUUUAAGUUUAUAAUUUUUUAUAUUAUGUUAUUUUUUAUAUAUUAUGUAAUUUAGAACACAAUAAAAAAUAAACAUAUAGUAAAUAUAUAAUAUAACUCUAAUGUAAACAUUAAAAUAAUAUUAAAAUGACUAUAUAAAAAAUUUCAAUAAAUAAAAAUGUAUAAAUAUUAAAAUAAUAUAAUAUAAAUACUUUUUAAAAAAAUUAAAAAAUAAUAUAAGCGAACCUAAAAUGGGUUUAGAUUAGUUUUUUGUAAAUAUGGGAGUGUUUUGACAAAAUUUUAGGCCUAAAUUUCAAACCGGACCGAACUUAAACAAAUAUAAAAUAUCUUAAUAUCAUGCUUAAACCAACCUAUGAACACUUCUACAUAAAAAUAAUAUAGACGAAUUGAUGUCGUUUAGUUCCACAAGGUCAAACUUCAAAUUAAUACGAGUGUAUUAUUAAAAGUUUUCGUCCUCGCAUUACUUGUAAUUAGUUUAUGUCUUUUAAUUCAUUGAGAAGUAACAAGCAUGUAUGGAUGUCCAUUGUACAGGCCCAUUUUGACCUAAUCCAUUACAACCCAUAACCCAAGCAAAAACAAAACCUACCCAGGCCCAACUAAGCCUAACCCACCAAAACCAAAGCCCAAAUCAGCAACCCAAUUCAGCCCAAUCUACCUAACCCUAGCCAAUUUGUAGAAAAAAGAAACAGCAGCCACCCUAGGUGCGCCGCACCUAGGGCCUUCGUCCACCUACCCCCUGCCACCGCCUCUGACCAGCGCCGCACCUGCUCUCUGCCAUCGCCCAACUGCACCUGCAAGAAGAGAAACCAACACGCAACAACAAAUAGUAGACAUAGAUAAAAAAAAUGUUAAAAUCGGCUAUAAAAGCCGAAACCAGAGGAAUGUAAAGGGUUCGGCCCCUCUUUGACGAUUAAAAGAAAUAAAAGUUUUUUGAAAAUCUUAAAGGUGACUACUACCUUUUUAGAUCUGUUUUUUUUUGUUCUUUUAAAUAUUAUUUUUGUUUUUAAAUACAAACAAAUUAAAAAUAAGAAUAAAGGAGAAGGCUUUUUACCUUACCUGCGCCGCGACGGAGGUGGAGGAAGGCGAACGGUUUCGCCCCAUUUUUUGGGUCUUCGGCUUUCUAUUCAGGAGAUUCAGCCCCGGAUCUGUGGCCUGGAGGCCAUGGACUUCAAAAAAGGACGAAAAAGGUCCGAUUUUGAACCUCCGGCGGCCACACACGGUGGCUCUGCGGCGGAGACUCGUCGGAAAUCUCGAGCCGGACCAUGGCCGGACCUGAGAGAAAAAGAGAGAGUUUUCUCUCUGUUUUUUUAAAAAGAAGAUGAAACUGUUUCUUUUAGCUUUUUUUAGUAUUUAUAUUAAACGUGAAACGACGCCGUUUUAGCAAAAGGAUCCGCGCGUCGACCCGACCCGACCCGGAGGAUCCGCGUGUUUUCAGUUUUUGGGAUAUUUCGCGUGCAGUCCCCCUGAUUUUGCAGCGUAUUACAAUUUUAUCCUUUUGUUAUUUUCUCUUAUUUUUAAUUUAGCCCCUGCAAUUUUAUUUUUAUUUCGACUUGGUCCAUUUCAACGCUGCGUUUUGGGGCUGUGGUUUAUUUGCAGUUUUGGCCCUUUCCUUUUCAGCGCGCGUUGCAAUUCGGUCCUUCUUGUUUUUUUAUUUCAAAUUUGCCUAGUAUAUUUGUUUUUAUUUUGAUUUAGUCCCUUUUUAGCAAUCUUAUUUAUUUUGAUUAAUUAUUUUAAUGUAUUAUCAUUUAUUAUUAUUAUUGUUGCAUUUAUUAUUCUGAUUAUCAUUUACCCAUUCGCAUCGUUUUUGGAUUUGGUUAUACAUACAUACUUAUAUAUAUUUUUAUAUUUUAUAACUUAUAUACAUAUAUCUAUAUUUAUAUUCUUUACCUUCACAAAUAUAUGUAUACGUACCUAUAUAUAUAUAUUAUUUUAUAUAUAUACAUCCUUUUACAUUUUUAGGUUUUUAUAUUUUGUUCAUUAUUUAUUUAUUUAUUUACAAUUUUGUUAUUAUUUUAAAAGAAUGCUUUAACUUUAUUUGCUUAUAUAUUCAUUUUGUAUGCUAUUGAUUUGUCUUUUUUUAUUUAUCUUAUCUUUGAUGCUAUUGCUCGUGUUAUUUUACUUGCAUUAUCAUCAUCAUUUCAUUAUACCCAUUUUUAUUUAGAUUUCGAAAAAGAAAUUUUAGAAAUAAGUAAUAUUCGGUAUUUUGGAUCUUCGAGAGAAUCGAGCCCUAACGUAUUGGGUUCCGACUUUCUUCGUUGAACUUAAAUAAUUGAGAUUAUUCUUUUAAAAAUGAUAAAAAGCUCGUUACCGAGAAUUCAAUAUGUUGUGUCCUAACGCAUUGGAUGUGACACGUUAUUUUUUCGAAACGAGAAUUUUUCUAAAUAAAUGUAAUAUUCAAUGUUUAAUAUUUUGAGAAAUUGUGCCCUAACGUAUUGGGUUGCGAUUUCUUCAUUUGAUUUAAACAAUUGAAUAUUCUUUUAAACUUUAUUACACGAAUUUUUUCAAACUCAAGUUAAACGAUAUCGGGAAUUAAAAAAAGGAUCGUGUCCUAACUUACUGGUCGCGAUAUCUUUUUUUAAUCCAAGAUAGUUAAAUAUCUUUUAAAUAAGCAUUUUUCAUUCGCGUAUCGGGAAUUCGAGACAUUGUGUCCUAACUUAUUAGAUAUGAUUCUCUUUCUCGAAUAGCGUGAAAUAUGCCCCUUUUUCAGAAAUUUUUCAACGUUUUAAUACAAGGAUCGUAUUUUUAAAAUUCUUCAAAGUUCUCAAUUUUCGACAUUAAGACAUUAAGUAGUCAAUUAGGUACCAAUUUUGGGCGUAUCGAGGGUGCUAAUCCUUCCUCGUGCGUAACCGACUCCCGAACCCGUUUUUCUGAAUUUCGUGGACCAAACUUGUUGUUUUAAUAAAAUCAAACCGUUUAUUAAAAACAACUAAUUUUAAGGUGAUCCAAUCACACCUCAUAAAAAAGGAUUGGUAGCGACUCCCGUUUCUUUUUUCAAAACCCAAGUCGACCCCGUUUUCCAUCCAAAAAAUGGUGUCAACAUCCAUCUUCUACCAUAGUUGUCUUCUAAAGAACUUUAUAAAGGGAAGCUAUGCCACUCUAUUUAAGGGUUGGUUUUGGAGAUUAAAGUGUAAUUUUAUCAUCAUAUUAACUUAAGUUUUUUUUUUAAAUUUAAAAACGUGUAAAUGGUAAAUUUACUAUUUUUGGAAGGUCAAGGCUAUUGCUUCCCCUUAUCUUUGCCCUGCUAGUAGUUGACUAACACGGUCUCAUACAGUAAUACUCUUAUCGAAUAUAAAGCCUUGUUUAAAUGGAGAUAUUUAUAAGAGGAAAAAUACUAAAUAAUGCAAGCUCGCCCAUGCCUGGUCACUGUGAGCCCCUUUGUGAGGAAGCACCUGAUCUUCUCUCGAAGUUACGAGGUUAUUUUGUCAAGUUCUUUAGAGAGAGUUGUCUCACACCCCUAGGUAUUCUCUACCUACCCACUUGUGUCGGUUUUGGGUACACGUACCCUUUUGAUGAAGGUCGUUCAAGCUUUUCCUGGAAGUAUAAUUUUUACUUCCACUUACAAUUUCAUAAAAUAAUAAUUUAUCAAAUCAAAAUUAUUCAAAUACAAAUUCAAAAUAUUUGAAUCAAAAUUAAAUUGGAGCUCCUCACUCAGGCUUCUACUUUUGUGCAUUGAUAAUUCAGUGGCAGCACUUCCCCCUUGCCUUAAUUGUUGAAAAUUGAAUAAAAAUUGUACCUUUCAUUUCCUUCCCUCAGACAAGUUGUUCAUUGUUGCUCCCACUCUUCAGUCUUCUCUAAAAUAAUGUAGGAAUCCCAAGUCACUAUAAUUAGGUGAUGAGGAUGGUACUUACUUUUUUUCCAAUAUCAGGGUAUUUAUCGUUAAUAAUAGUGAUUGAUUUUUUUUGUUGCGAAUUUGUACAAGAGCUUAUGUAAGAGUUUAAUAUAGUUCAAUGAUUAUUUUAUAAUUUUUUAAAGUUAAAUAAUCAAAAUAGAAAUUAAUUAACAAUUUAGCUAGAGAGCUUACACGUAGUUUACCCAAAAACAUAUCGACAUGAUCCCCCAUUGGAGUCCGAAGCCAAAGCUCACAAAUUGGGUUAACAUUUGACAUUUGGGGUUUCAAAUUGAGAAUUAAUUGAAAUAGAUAACAAUUAGCAAUUAAUUGAGAAUAAACAAAUUAUAUUCCAUAUAGUGUAGUAUUGAAUAUAUGUUUACUUCAUUAAAGGUCUCUUUUUUAUUCAAUUAAUUUCUCCAACUCAAAUUUAGCAACUUAUUAUGGUACUAUGAGAUUAUAAGAAUGGUUUUUGGAAGUAAAUCAGUGAGUGAAGUUGUAAAAUUACUGAUUUUCGAUUUAAUUACUUUAAUCAUUGGUCUAGUUUCAAUUAAAAAAUUUAUUCAUGAUUUAGCCUAUAAAUUAUAUAUAUUCUCUCACUUUAGUCUAGUUUAGACUUGCCUAUGGCCCUGCUCGAAUGUCCACCUGAAAAGCGAGAUGAUUUAGGUAAAUAUAUAUGCCCAAAAAGUUGGUCUGGAUAAAAAAAUAAUGCUCGUUUUCUAAACGGAUUGGGUCUCAGGUAAGCUUUUCUUGCUCAACCUGGCCCGAAUUUGCAAAAAAAAAAACUAUUGUUGUUUUUUUUACUAUUUUAUCAUUGUUUUUCUAUCAUUUCGUUAUUAUAUUGCUACUAUUUUAUUAUUAUUGUUUGAAUAAUGCAUAACUCUUGUUUUAUUACUAAUUUUGCUACUAUUUUAGGGAUAUUUACUUUUUAAGUUACACUUAUCUCAGUGUUAUAUAUUUAAGUAUUUUUUUUUAAUUUUCAUUUGUUCGGAAACAUUUAUUUCAAAUUUUUUAGUGUAUUUGAUGAAUUAUUUUUUAAAAUUUAUUUUUAUAUUAAAAAUAUAAAAAAUUAAUAUGGGCAGACUAGGCUUUUAACAUUUUAAUCUAAGUUGGGCUUGGAUAAAAUUUUAAGCCUAUUUUUCGAGCUGAACCGAGCUCAGGCCUAGAAAUUAGGCCUAAAUUUUUUACUUGGCCCUAUCAACCCAUGGACAACCCCAGUCUAGUUUCAGUUGGGAAUGAGAAUUACUACUAUUUUGUUGUUAUUAAAUUGUUAAACCAUUGUUUUUUUUUUUUGGUGCCACUUCAAAAAGCCAUUGGGCCUUAGUCAAGACGAGGUAACAUAGAAUAGUUCAGGGUCCUAACUGGAAAAUAUCCCACAUUGAUUAUUGUGAUGUAGAAAGUGGAAAAUAUGUAACGAGCGUCAUUGGAAAGAUGUAUGUCAAACUAGUGGAGCCAUAAAUUGGUAGUUUUCUAAGGUUGGUUUCAAAAUGAAGGGGGAGCUCCCAAGUCAAAAUAAAAUUGUUUAGUAUUUUUUAGUGUUUCCCUUUUAGACAGGUUAAAUUGUGUAUUUAUAUGUAGGGGUGUUCAUUCGGUUAACCGAUCGGUUAAUCGAAUCGAACUUUUUUAAAAAAAAUUAACCGAACGAAAUUUUUUCGGUUAAUUCGGUCGGUUAAUCGAAAAUUAUAUGUUUUUUUAUUUUUGGUUAAAAAUUAACCGAAUUAACCGAAUUAACCGAAUUCCCGAAUUACCCGAAUUAACCUAAUUGAAUCAUACAUAAUUAAAUUAUUUUUAGACUUUAAUACUUUAGUUUUAGUUUUAGUUUUAGAAUUUGUUUUUAUUUAUUAAAUUAUUUGUAAAUUUUAUGAUUGGGUUGGUUUGGGUAAUUGGGUUGGAUUGAAUACUUGGAUUUGGAUUGGGUUUAGGUGAAUAGUGGACCUAUUUAUAUAUUAAUAAUUUUAUUUAUUAAUUUUUUCGGUUAACCGACCGGUUUCGAACCGAAUUAACCGUUAACUGAAAAUUCAUAAAAAAAUUAACCGACCCCCGACCGAAAAAAUUCGGUUAACCGACCGAUUACCGAAUUUUUUCGGUUUUACCCGAAUUAUGCACACCCCUAUUUAUAUGAUAUGAUUACUGUUCACAGAUAUGAUAUCGUAGGUAGGUUCCCAUGCAAAUCAACGUAUACCCUACUUUAGGUUAACAUGUAUUUAUAUGAGGUGGAUUUACAUAGUGCAAACCCACAUCAUGCUGUCUCGUAGAAGGUUGCAAACACCUUACAUGCGAACUCAAAGUGCGAACUGUAAUGGAUCAGUAAUAGUGAAUAUCAUAACAAAAGUAAAUUAAAAUAUUUAAUUCCUUCCAAAUAUUAAUUUCAAUAAUUAUUCAACUCCUAUUAUUUUAUCCUUUUGUAUAUUGAAUUCCUCUAAGCAAAGAAAAUAUCCAAAUUAAAAUUUUUAAUUUUUUUAGACAUAAUAUCAAAUUUAACCUUCAACGUUUACAUUUUUUUGUCAAUUUGGCAAUUAUUCUUUUUUGAGCUAAAUUUGACCCUUAAUCUUUCAAAAAAGAGUCAAAUAUUUUUUUAUGAAAUCUUUUUUUAAUGAAAACAUUAAUAAAAACAUUAAUUUUUUUAACAAUAAUGGUGUGGCAACCCGCAUGGUAGUCCACGUAUACUUCCAUACUAGUAUGACACUAUUUGUAUUAUAUGUCAUGUCAACAAAUAAUUUUAAAAAAGUAUUUAAAAUUCAAAAAAUUAUAAAAAGCUCAUAAUAUGUAAAAUAAAAAAGCAUGAAGUACAUAUAGAUUGUCAUUCAAACUAUCAUAUUUGAAAAUUUAAUGUUAUAAUCGAAAUUUUUUUUAAAAAAAUAACAAUUUAACUCUUUUAAAAUAUUAAUGGUUAAAUUUAACUUUUUAAAAAAAAUUGAAAGUCAAAUUUAGCUCAAAAAAUAAAGAUUAAACUGACAAAAAAUAUAAAUGUUAAAAGGUUAAAUUUCAAAUUAUAUCAUUAUUUUAUUAAACAAACCUUAUUAAAAAUGUAUUUAAAUUUUAUAAAUCUUAUUAAAAUAAUAUUAAUAAUUAUUCAACUCCUCCACACAAAGAAGCAUCCAAAUUAAAAAUAUAUAUUUAAUUCCUUUCAAAUAUUAAUUUGUUCAACUUCUUAAAUUAAGUAAUUAAUCAAUUUUCGUUUUAAACAAAAAACCGGAUAGGAAAACCAUCAUUUUCUCGGGAAACAAACAGAGAAAGCUGCAAACUUUCCAAAUAUAUACCUUACUCGAAAAUCUGCCACGUCUUAUCCUUGAUAUGAUGGUUUCUAACAUUGCCACUUGGCAAGUUAUUCAGUAACAAUGCCAAUCUGCCACCAUUAUGCUUUUCCUUGCAGUACAAAAUUCCAGGAUGCCUUUACUUCUUUUGCCUCUUGGAUCAGCAUUUACUAUCACCAAAAUCAAAAUCCCAACUUUGAAAAAAAAAAAGUUUAAUUUUUAUCCUUUUUUUAAAAAAAUUUAACAAUUUUUUAUUUUCCAUUGUCAACCUUGUAAAAUUCUUUUAUAUUUUUAUGUUUUUAGUGGGAUUUUUACAUUUGUUCCAAAUUAUCAGUUUGUCAAGUUCUUCAUGCUUUCCAUGUCCCAAAGGAUCACAUUUUAUUUAAGAAAUAGAAAAAGACAUUAUUUUUGUUCUUCAUGCAACUUAUAAGUUAUAGAGAAUGAAUUUCUUUGAUUUUAGCAACUAAUAUUAUGAUUCCAACAUUUAGGGUUUUAUAUGUUUUUUUUUCUGUAUGAAUUUGAACUUGAGUUAGCCAUAAAAACCCCACCUUUAAUCUCAAUAUAUGAACUUGGCUUUGCUUCUUAUGGUUAUUAUUGUUUAAUUUAAUUAAUGUCUUGAAAGGGUAUUCUAGUUUAAUUUAAUUAACUAGUCCAUUUAUUUUGAUUGAUAAUGAUGUUGCAGGUGCUUAAUCUUUCCAUUGAAAUGGAGAAAAUCAACUACCAGGACGAGCUGAAGAAAGAGCGUAGGCUUGUUCGGAGUCUCGUAUACGAGAUCGGUUACAGGAAGGAACAGGUGUCCGAAAUGGAACAUAAAUAUGACAAGACAACCACGGCUUUUCAAGAACUCGUUGAUGGCCUUGUAGCGAAAAUUGACUCCAAGGACAGUAGUUUGCGGGAUUGGGAGCUUCGAUAUAAGGAAAUGGGGAAAUGGUACAUAAAUAUGAUGAGACGACCGCAGCUCUUCAAGGACUCGUCGAUGGCCUUGUAGAGAAAAUUGACUCCAAGGACAGUAGUUUACGGGAUUGGGAGCUUCGAUAUAACGAAACCGUGAGACAAUUGAAGGGCGAGAACGCGGUGUUUCACCUUGUGUUUGCUAAAGGUAUACUUUAGAUUAUAUAUUGCAUACAUAGCGAGCAGAAGACUAUGCAUUAAUCCAAUCGUGUACGAUGAACAACAUGUCGUUUUCGAAGUUCCAAGGUUUGCAUUUAGAGCUUUGAUUGAUCUUUAGGCUAUUUUACACAUCUAGUUGCUUAGUAUUAGAUUCGGUGAAGAAGUUGCAACUUUAGGAUAGUGAAGGAGACAUAAAUGUCAGGAUUCGAACCCCAAACUCUGCUUUUAUAUCUGUUAUCACGGGAACCGGAUGAACUUAUGGAAACGAGGCUUGGAACCUAAAAGGAAGCAUAUAUAUUUGAGAUAUUCCGAUUUUCUUCCUGUUGCUAAUGCUUCUAUCAUACACAUUAGGAUUAUGUGAUCUUAUAUAUAUACACACGCAUAUAUACGAGAUACUGAUGAAUUUCUGCCUCCUGUUAUUGCUUAUAUCAUAUGCUUUAUGGACUGUUGCUUUACAUUUUUUAUGCAGAAAUUCAGAAGGAAAGGGAUGAAAAUCUUAAGCUGAAGUGCCAACCUGGCUUUCGAACCAAGUUGGUCGAAGAUUAUAUAUCUCGUAAUGAUAACGAUAUGGAACGAAGUAGCUUGUUGAAUGAAAUGGAAGGGGUUAGCAUACUCAUCUUAAUUUUGGUUUUCGAUAUAUGAACUAUCUUUUGUCGAGUUUGUACCUUUGUGUAAAUGAAUCCUGUUAUCAUGUUUAGGUUCAACGUUUUUAAUGGUUAUGAUUUGCCGAGUAGACUUUUAACAAUUCGGAUUAUAUCUGAUAUAGCCGAAAGAGAAUGUGGCUUGCCAAAAUCUUAUUGAACUCGAGAAAACUACAAGCGAGCAGAUUACUGCUCUAAAGAAAGAGUUGGAGGAAAAAUCAGAAGCGUUGAAAGAUAUGGAAAACCGAAACAGUUGUCUAACGGUGAAACAAGUCCUAACUAAUCAAGAGCUGCAAGAUGUUCGAAAAGAAUCCAUACGUGUAUUUUUCAUGUUUUCCUUUGCUUCCUCCUAUGUUUCCUCUUCGAAAUCGGGUUUAAACUUGAAAGUGUUAAACCCAAGACUUCUCUGGUUUUUGAUGUGCAGGGUUUGAACGAUUUUCUGAAUAACCAGACUAAUCUUAAGAGUGAAAAGAACGGGAGAGAUUGAUCAAAAAGCAUUCAAAGUUGCUUGCUCGUUGAAGUUCCAGGACGAAGAUUGGCGAGAACCGUGUGCUAAAACAUGUUCAUUAUGUUGUUCCAAUAGGGUCGGAAGCGUGUAAAUUAUUGUACUAAAAAAUCACAAAAAGUUCAAUUCCCAGGGAAGAGAGGUGGAUCACAUGGAUCUCUUAAAUACCAAGUCUUUUCUUAGACAGAAUAUCCCUUCUAUAGUAAUUUAAUAGCACAAUUAAAUACUACUAUUAUACCCUCAAAUAUUGAAAGAAAAAUAGGACAAGAAAGAACACAAGAGAUUUAACGAGGUUCGGUAAAUUAUACCUACGUCCUCGGGCACUAACACCAGAUGAUAACUUUACUAUCCCCAAAGUAUUACAAACAAAUAGAAUUCCUUAAGAAUUCUCAAAUGGGAGAAGAGAGAAAACUAAGAGAGAAAGAUUGGUUGGGAUGAAUUGAAAUGAGAAAUGAGAAGGCCUAUUUAUAGUUGAGGUUCAAGGACCAAACAAUAAAUAGCACAUUAUCUCAAGGACCAAAAAAAAAUUAUCCCUUGCCACUUUUCCAAAGUUGGUGGUUGUCAUUAUUGAUUGUCUCCCAUUAAUGUUAAUGGCAACCAUUAUUAAUUGUCUAUCAUUAAUGUUAACAAUCUCCACCUUGAAGAUUUGAUUAGGAUAAUCACAUCUUCACACACUUCCUUCAACUCCCUAAAUUCGAUAAAGCUAUCUUUUGUAGUGCCUACAAAUGCGCUCUCGAGCGCCAUACACCUGAAGGUGCUCAAAUUCUCAGGAUGUUAAUCAAGUUCAAACAAUGAUUAAACUUGAUUGUUGUUACCACCUUGGUCAUCAUAUCUGCGGGAUUAUCUGCUGUCGGAAUCUUCUAAAGUAGAAUUUUUCCUUUUUCAAAGACUUCUCGCACAAAGUGAUAUCUUACGUCAAUAUGCUUGGUUCUUGAAUGAUAGACUUGAUUUUUCGCUAAAUGAAUAGCGCUCUGACUGUCACAAUAUAAACUUAUGUGACUUUGAACAACUCCUAAGUCUUUCAACAAUCCAUUAAGCCAAAUAGCCUCCUUAACAGCUUCUGUAACUGCCAUAUAUUCUGCCUCUAUAGUAGAUACAGCUACUGUAGACUGUAAGGUAGACUUCCAACUCACUGGGGCUUUCGCAAGAGUAAACAAAUACCCCGUAGUUGAACGACGUUUAUCUAAAUCACCAGCAAAGUCGGAAUCAACAUAUCCAACUACAAACUGACCAAGUGCUUCAUCCUGUUCAAAAAUUAAACCAACAUCUACGAUUUUUCAAAGAUACCGUAGAAUCCAUUUCACAGCUUGCCAAUGUCCUUUUCUAGGAUCAUGCAUAUACCUGCUCACAACUCCAACAGCUUGUGAAAUGUCAGGCCUCGUACACACCAUCACAUACAUCAAACUCCCAACUGCAUUAGUAUAUGGGACUUUCGCCAUAUAUUCUCUUUCUUCUUCAGUUUUCAGAGAUAAUUGAGCACUAAGUUUCAAAUGAGAAGCAAGUGGGGUACUUACAUGUUUUGUGUUUUCAUUUACACCAAAACAUUGUAAUACCUUUUUCAGAUAUUGCUUCUGAUUCAAACAAAGCUUGCCUCUCUGUCUAUCUCUACUUAUCUCCAUGCCGAGAAUCUUCUUGGCCUCACUUAGAUCUUUCAUCUCGAACUCUUGAUUCAACUGAGCCUUCAGCUUAUCUAUCUCUUUUUGGCUCUUCGAAGCGAUUAACAUAUCAUCAACAUACAAGAGUAGAUAAAUGAAAGAUCCGUCAUGCAGCUUCUGCAAAUACACACAAUUGUCAUAUUUGCUUCUUGUGUAUUUCUGCCUUCUCAUAAAGCUAUCAAAUCGCUUGUACCACUGCCUCGGGGAUUGCUUCAAUCCAUAUAGCGAUUUGUUAAGCUUACAAACCCAAUUUCUACCACCAGCAUCUGUGUAUCCUUCUGGCUGAGUCAUAUAGAUCUCCUCUUCUAACUCACCAUGCAAGAAAGUCGUCUUAACAUCAAGUUGAGCUAGCUCUAAAUUCAACUGUGCUACCAAGGCCAACAAAAUUCUAAUGGAGGAAUGCUUCACAACAGGGGAAAAUACAUCAUUGUAGUCAAUUCCCUCCUUCUGAGCGUAGCCUUUAGCUACCAAUCUUACCUUGUAGCGAAUAUCCUUCUUGCUAGGAGAUCCAUCUUUCUUUGCGAAUACCCACUUGCAUCCGAUUUCCCUUUUACCUUUCGGUAAUUGCGCCAACUCCCAAGUAUUGUUCUUCCGGAGAGACUGCAUUUCUUCAUCCAUGGCGCUUUUCCAUUUAUCACUUUCUAAGCUUUGCAUUGCUUCUUGAUAAGUGAUAGGAAUAUCAUCAACAACGGGAAGGGCGUAGGCCACCAUAUCAGUAAAUCGAGCAGGUUUACGAAUUUCUCUCCAUGGCCUUGCAACUGCAACUGGUUCUGGUGUACUUAGUGGUUCUUGGGUCAGAACCUCUUCAACCUCUAAUUCCUCCAUUGUGGCUGGAGAAUUAGACUUAUUAACUGGGCAAAUCCCCAUCUGCUCAAACUCCACCUAUUUUGGAGUACACUCCACCUGCUGUGGAGUAUUGCUCGUCUGAAUAUCUUUAUCUGCUACCUUUUUCAAUGUGGCAGAUUCAUCAAAGGUAACAUCUCUGCUACAGAUCAUUUUCUUUGUGCUUAAGCACCAAAGACGAAAUCCCUUCACUCCAGAAGUGAUUCCCAUAAAGAGAGCUUUUUUUGCCCUCGGAUCUAACUUUGACUCCUUCACAUGGUAAUAUGCAGUGGUUCCAAACACAUGUAAGGAAUCAUAAUCUGUAGCCGGUUUUCCAGACCAUACCUCCAUAGGAGUUUUUCUUUCUAAUGCAGAUGAUGGCAAACGAUUAACAAGAUGGCCAGUGUAUGUCACAGCCUCAACCCAAAAUUGCUUGCCCAACCCAGCAUUGGACAACAUACAUCAAACUUUCUCCAGCAAUGUUCGAUUCAUACGCUCUGCCACUCCAUUCUGUUGUGGUGUAUCCCUAACUGUGAAGUGUUGAACAAUACCAUACUCUUGGCACACAUCGAAGAACGGAUCACUUUUAUAUUCCCCUCCAUUGUCCGUCCUAAGCCGCUUGAUUUUCUUGCCAGUCUGGUUUUCGAUCAUAGUUUUCCAUUUAAGAAAAACUCCAAGCACUUCAUCUUUAGUUUUCAUGGUAUACACCCAAACUCUUCUGGAAAAGUCAUCAACAAAAGUAACAAAGUAGUGUUUUCCUCCCAACGAAGGUGUUUUGGAAGGCCCCCACACAUCUGAGUGAAUAUAUUCCAAAAUACCUUUUGUAUUAUGGAUAGCAGUGCCGAAUUUCACUCUCUUUUGCUUUCCCAGAACACAGUGCUCACAAAAUUUUAAUUUGCAAGCCUUUGCACCUUUCAACAAUCCUUGUUUUGCCAGAAUUUGUAAGGAUUUUUCGCUGGCAUGUCCCAACUUCAUAUGCCACAACUGCAUUGAGUCCAAGUCUUUGUUACCGGAAGCUGCAGCGACUGCUCCAAUAACUGUACUACCUUGGUAGUAAUACAAGUUAUUUUUCCUGAUGCCCUUCAAUAUCACAAGUGCGCCAGAUGUCACUUUCAAAACCCCAUCUCUCAUAGUAACAACUGAACCAUUGGAUUCCAAGGCUCCCAAUGAGAUGAGAUUUUUCUUCAAACUGGGCACGUACUGAACAUCAGUCAGAACUCUGGUUGAUCCAUCUUUAUUCUUUAAUUGGAUUGAACCUAUCCCAACAAUUUUACAGGCAUUGUCAUUGCUCAUAUAAACAACUCCUCCAUUUAGUUCUACUAAAUCAGAGAACCACUCCCGGUUAGGGGACAUAUGAUAGGUACAACCCGAAUCCAAUAUCCACUCAUCUGAAUGGAACGACGAUGAUGAUGCAACCAGUGAUAGUUCAGAGUCACUAGUAUCAUGCUUAGCAACACAAGCAUCUACAGCAGCUUUUCCCUUAUUCUUCAGCUUUGGACAAUUUUUCUUCCAGUGGCCUUUCUCAUGACAAAAAGCACAUUCAUCUUUCCCGAGUCUGGACUUUGACUUUGAUAUCCCCUUUUGAGUUUUCUUCCGAGUGUAUGAACGACCUCGGACUACUAAAGCUUCUGUAUCUCUGAUUGAGUUUUUCUGUUUGUCCUUCUUUCUCUGUUCAUAACUGUAUAAGGCCGCACAGACUUCGCUCAGAGAUAUAUCACUCCUGCCAUGAAGUAGAGUAGUUUCUAGGAACUCAAACUCCUCAGGAAGUGACCCCAACAGCAUCAAAGCCAAAUCUUCAUCUUUGAAUGUCUCAUCCAUAUUCAGCAAAUCAGUGACUAACUGAUUAAAUUUGGUGAUGUGAUCAUUCAUUGUGGUACUUACGUAUGUGAAGCGAAACAGUCUUUUCUUCAAGUGGAGCUUAUUUUGACUGUUUUUCUUCAAAAAAAUUUCUUCAAGUGCCACCCACAACUUAUUUGCAGAAGUCUCCUUUGAAAAAGCAUACAUCUGCUCUCGAGAAAGGCAUGAUCGAAUUGUGCCACAUGCCAACCGAUUGAUCGCCUUCCAAUCUUUCUCCUGUACAUCAUCUGGUUUCUCUUCAUCAAUGGCAAUGUCUAGACCCUGCUGAAAAAGGGCAUCUAGAACCUCACUUUGCCACAUACCAAAAUGGCCCGUGCCAUCAAAGAUUUCCACGGCCAAUCUUGCAUUUGCAAUUGUCGGUCUUGUCCACAUGGACGAUGUUGAAGCUCCUACACCGACCGUUUUCUCCAUAAUCUUUCAAUAUAUCUAAGGAAAUCUUUUCUGAUGUGGAAGAUCAGUUUAAACUGCAACCACAGAGCAUACUACGAUUAACCUUCGGCUCUUGAUACCACUUGUUGUUCCAAUAGGGUCGGAAGCGUGUAAAUUAUUGUACUAAAAAAUCACACAAAGUUCAAUUCCCAGGGAAGAGAGGUGGAUCACAUGGAUCUCUUAAAUACCAAGUCUUUCCUUAGACAGAAUAUCCCUUCUAUAGUAAUUUAAUAGCACAAUUAAAUACUACUAUUAUACCCUCAAAUAUUGAAAGAAAAAUAGGACAAAAAAGAACACAAGAGAUUUAACGAGGUUCGGUAAAUUAUACCUACGUCCUCGGGCACUAACACCAGAUGAUAACUUUACUAUCUCCAAAGUAUUACAAACAAAUAGAAUUUCUUAAGAAUUCUCAAAUGGGAGAAGAGAGAAAACUAAGAGAGAAAGAUUGGUUGGGAUGAAUUGAAAUGAGAAAUGAGAAGGCCUAUUUAUAGUUGAGGUUCAAGGACCAAACAAUAAAUAGCCCAUUAUCUCAAGGACCAAAAAAAAUUAUCCCUUGCCACUUUUCCAAAGUUGGUGGUUGUCAUUAUUGAUUGUCUCCCAUUAAUGUUAAUGGCAACCAUUAUUAAUUGUCUUCCAUUAAUGUUAACACAUUAUGGCAACAUAAUGUGCAGGAUCCGAAUUGGCACCCGUAUAAGAUGAUCAACAUCCGAGGCAACUUGCAUACACCGAUUGCUCAGAAAACCGUACUGUUAUCAAACAUCUGUUGUUCUACGAAAUGCGAGCUGGUUCAUUACUCAAAACUUACAUAUUAAUGGGAUGCCUUCUCGGUAAUGCAGGAAAUAAUAGACAAGGAUGAUGAGAAGCUGAAGGAGUUGAGAAAUGAAUAUAGUGACACAGCGUACGAGGCUGUCAGCACCGCACUGAUGGAAAUGAACGAAUAUAAUGCCAGCGGAAGGUAUGCGAUCCCGGAAGUUUGGAACAGAAAGGAGGGAAGGAGCGCUACCAUGAAAGAAAUCGUUCAGUACGUCGAGCAACUGAAGAUUCACAAGCGUAAGCGAUUUUCUUAAUGCUGAGCUUAGCAGUCCAUUGCUUUCAUGGAAAAUAAGUAGAAUUAUACACAAUCCUUAGGUAGGUAUUAAAUUUUAGAAUUAUAUUUGACAUUAAAAAGAGCUAUUUGUUCAUUCCAGCAUGAGCUCCAAAAUUAGGCUCCAUAUUUACAAACCUAAAUUAAACUUACUCCAUAUUUACAAACAGAAAUUAAACCUACCUACGAUAGUUGCAUAAAAAAAUAUUAUCAAUUUAAAAAAAAAAGUAAUUAAGUUGUUGGUAUUUUUCAUUUAAUUAAAUACUUCACUUUUUAAAAUGUAUCAAAAACUUUCUUUAAAUUUUAAAAAAUAAUAAUUAAAUCUUUGUUUUUCUUUUACAUACUCAAUGGCUACUUCAACUAUCAAAAAAAAAAAAAAAAGAAAAGACUUUUUGACAAUUAAAAGUAACUGCUUUAAUUUUUUUAGUUAAAGUCAUUCAGCGUCACAACCAUACAGGCGUGAUGUGUAAUAAAAAAUUAUAAAAAAUAAAAAUUAAUAAAAUUAUUAAAUUCUAAUAAAAAAUAUAAAAAUAUUUAAAAUUUAUUUAAAAUGUCAUAAAUGUAUAAAUAAAAUAUAUUAAAAAUGUUAUUUAACCACUAACUUUAAUUGUUGACUAGUAAAGUCCAUAAUUUUUUUUUCAAUUAAAGCCAUCAUGUGUCGCAAUGCAAUGUGACCUGUGAUGAAAAAUUAUAAAAAUAAAAAUCAAUAAAAGUUACAGAAAAAUUAAAAAAUAUUUCUUUUGGUACAAUAAUUUUUAUAAUUUUUUUAUAAAUUUUAUAUUUUUAAAUUUUUAUAAUUUUCUUACUAUUUUAUAAAAUUUUAUAACUUUUGCAUUUUUUUAUAAUUUUAAAUAUUUUAUAAUUUUUAAAUUGUUUAUAAAUUUUAACUCUUUUUUAUUAAAAUUUAAUAAUUUUUUAACUUUGAUUUAUUUUUAUUUUUUUUAUAUUUUUUUACAUGUCACACUAUAAUUGUGACCUUUAGUGUUUUACCAAAAUAUUAGGAGUGGUUAAUUUUAACAUUCAACCGCUAAAAUUAACAAUCACAAGACUUUUAACAGUUCAAAUAUUCAAUUGGAUAAAAAAAUUUAUUAUUUAAUAAAAUAUAUUAAAAUAAGGGUUUCGACUCAAAUCAUGAUGAAUUGAGCCAUCGAACUUGAGAAAUUAAAAUGUGAACAGAAAUGGGCUCUUCAAAAACCCUUACCCGAGCCCAAGAAGAUCCCCCAAAAACCUUCAACUUAUAACCCUAAUUUGCCUCUCAACUACACUAUAAAUCCUAUCUUCAACAAGACUCAUUCAGCAUUUAUAUCUUCUAAAAAACCCUUCGUUCGUCUAAGGUUUCUCUUUAGAAAUUUUCUCUUCGCAGAGAGUAAUUUUUGCCUUCAUUUUUUUUUCUCUUUAUUUUCCCAUUUUCAAUCUGGGGUUUUUUCCAAAAUGAGUUAAAAAUCCAAUCUUUACACUAGAUGUGAACCCUAAUCACAUUUAUUUUAUCUGGGUUUUGAAUAAAAUCUACACUUGUUUGUAUACUUAUGAAAUAAAAGAACCAUUUUUAAUGCUUUGUUUCUUAACAAGAGUGCAGAAAUAAAAAGCUUGAUUUUUUGCUUCUUUUAAAACAAAGAAACCAAGGAUUAAGCAGCGGCCAGACAACCGUAGCGAUGAUAUCCACAGAUGAAGGGCUAAUUUCUUCUUUAAUCCCUUUUUUGUCUACUGAUUCCAUCUCACAUUUCGUUUUUUAAGUUUUUAGGGUUCAUCACUUUUGAAUUGAUUGAAAAAGCUCUAAUCAAAGUUGAAACUUGGUUAAAAAAUGGGUUUUUUUAUAUGAUUUUACCAUUUUCAAUGCUUUUUUUUUAUGUUUUUUCAAUUUGUAAAAUCAAAUGAGAAACAAUCUCAAAAAAGAAAAAACGACAUUAAUCUAUCAAUCAAUCAAACUGAUUUUGAUUUGAUCAGAUAAAAAAUCAUUAAAUAUCAUAUUCAUGGGAAUUGCAGAGGUUUACUGUUGUAAUUCUUACGAUAUUUUAUCAGAUAUAUUUUACAUCUUAAUAUAUCAUUAAUAUAAAGUCAAAUUUUUUUAACAGGUUAUAUUUUGAUAUUAGUCCCUAUAUUUUGUUGAAGUUAUGAAUUUAGUCUCUAUAUUUUUUAAAUUUUAAUAUUUUAGUCUUUAUUAAAUGAUAAUUGUUAAAAGUUAAAGUUUUGUUAUUUUUAAAAUCUAUUGCAUCAAACAUAUUAUCACAUGCUCAAUGUCAUGUCAACUUGUUAUUUUCAUGUAUUCUUUACUAAAAAUUUAAGGGUAAAUUAUCAAAAUAGUCACUUUUGUUUGACUCAGGUUACAUUUUAGUUACUUACGUUUGAAAUGUUACGUUUUAGUCACUUAUGUUAUCACGUUGUAACAUUUUAGUCACUGAGCCGUUAGUUUUUGUUAACGGUGCAACAGUAAACUGAUGUGGCACGUUAAAUCAUCAUUUCAAACAAAAAUUCUAGGUUAACUUAUACAAUCGGUCCUCAUAUUUUUUCGUUUUGAGCAAUUUAAUUUUUUUCUUUUAUGUUUUUUUUAACUUUCUUUCUUUUCCAUUCUCUUAUGCUUCUCUCUUUGUUUUCCUCCCUUCUCCAUUUCUUUCAACGUAGUUUUUCUAUGUUUUAUUUUUUUGAACAAUUUAAUUUUUUCGAGUGAGGCGAGCUUGUGGACUAGUUACAAAUGGAAAGCAUAGAAAAACUAUGUUAAAAGAAAUAAAGAAGGGAGGAAAAUAGAGGGAGAAGAAUAAGAGAAUGGGAAAAAAAGUUAGAAGAACAAAAAAGAAAAUUUUUAAAUUGUUGAAAAUGAAAAAAUAUAGGAACCAAUUGUAGAAUUUAACCUAAAAUUUUCGUUUGAAAUGAUGAUUUAAUGUGCCACAUCAACUUAUCGUCCAUUGUCGACAAUUAACGACUCAGUGACUAAAAUGUUACAACACGAUAACGUAAGUGACUAAAAUGUAACAUUUCAAACAUAAGUGACUAAAAUGUAACCUGAGUCAAACAAAAGUGACUAUUUUGGUAGUUUACCUAAAAUUUAAUUAAUAGAUUAACAACUGUUAUUUGAGUCGAAACUAAAAUAUAAAAAAUUACGACUUAAACUGAUCCAAUUAAAACAUAUGGACUAAAUCUACAACUGUGCUUACAAUACAUAAUUAGCAAUUGAAUUUAAACAAUUAGAUUUAACAAUAACUAUUUGUGUUAAAAGACUAAAAUUUAAAAAAGUACAGAGAGUAAAUUUGAAAUUUUGACCAAUUUGAAAAGUACAGAGACUAAAACUAACUAAAUUAAAGUACAAUGACUAAAUCCAUAAUUUUUAUAAAGUACAAGGAUUAAUAGAAAAUUGUAACCUUUUUAAUAAAGUAAUUUUGAUUUUUAUUAAUUUAUUUAUAUCUUUUGCUUUUGUAAAUAUAAUAUUUUUAAAUAUUAUUUUGAUUUUUUAUUAUUUUUCAAAAGUUUUUACUUUUAGAAUGAAUGGUCUAAUUUAACCUUCAGUCCAAUUCUUACAAAAUUGAUAAACACUAACAAUGCAUAAUUUAAUAAAACUUUUCAAGUAAUUUAUAAAAAAACACUCAAAUUAAGUAAAUUAAACACACAUUUCAUUUUAAAUUAAAAUUAUAAAUAUUUAUGUGUUAAAAAAUAAAAAUAAAGUAUCAUCGAAGCUGCGGGCUGCAAUCUUCCCAAGCAACUUCAGCCCCCAUUACUUCCCCACUCUUUUUUUUCUCUUUUUACCAACACUCAGAAAAUCAAAAUUUUACCACACUUUCCCUCAUUUUCCCGGAAAAUAAAAUAAAGAUAUUAAAACCAAACAAAAAUCCAAAAAAGGAACUCGGUGAAGAUUUAGAUUUAGACCCUGAAAUUUUUGCCAGUGAAAGUUUGACCAAAUUGCCAAUGAGAAGGGACAAUGUUCCACGAAGUAGAGGUCCGAUGGUCGCUGCCGGUGACCCUAGACGACAGAGAUUGGCCGACUAAAACGGCGUUGGAUUGCCAGUUUUGGCCUCAGUUUCGGCUCAUGCUCAUCCACUCCGUUUUCGACCCUUUAAUGCUUGCUUUCACGAUAUCGCCGGCGCCGGCCACGUUUGUGAUUAGGACCAAGUUGAAGUAUCGGAAACCGUUGAUUGUGAAUCUGAUUCCUCCUCGUUUCUGGCAUGGCACCCUGAAGAAUCAUACGAAAAAGGAAAUGAAGAUUGGGUCAAAUCUAUUGACACUAAUUGUUGAAGUUCGAAAAUCGGUCUAAUAUUUAAGAAGGUAAAAGCGUUUGAACGGGAUGAGAUCAUCUCAACAUAUUGGUUAGACCGCGAAUCGAUUAAAAUAUCGGAGAAAGUAACUUGAUCAAUUAACUCGAAACUAAUACAAAUCAAGAAAAUUACUAGACAAGUUAACUCGGGAUUUGAUACAUCUAAGUUUGAUUUUUAUUAUAUAUAAUUUUAAUUUCGGUUUUAAAAAUAAAAAGCUAAGGGAAUAUACCUUCUAAAAUAGAGAAUAAAAGGGGCGCAACUGGCUAAUCCUUUGUUCUAUUGGCUAUUGCUAAUGCCUUGGAAGUUGAAAGUGUACCUUACUUUGAUUAGUGAAUGGCCGAAUAUGCUUACAAGAAUAAAUUAAGAAAUUCAACGUGGCUUAACAUACAUUUGUAUUUACUGUCACAUGAAUUUGGAUAACAACGAUUGAGAUGGAGAGAAAAAUCAUAUCCAAUUAUGUUUAACACUAGCAUUACGUACAUAAGCUCACACCGACUGAAGAAAACUUUACAUAUACAAGUAGAAGAAAUUUCCGAAUGAACAAAGUCAGUCUUCGCAUCCUAGUUGUUGUUCCAUUCAAUCUCUGUAUGCCCAAAAGAAAAUGAGAGAAAACAAUUACUACGACUAAUGACAUUGUUGAUAACAGGAAAUAUCAUUGUCAGAGAAUUCAAGACUCAAGAGGGAGCAUAUAUAAUUAAUCUAUACUAUAUUACCAUACAUAUGCCCUCAAAUAUUUUUAAAAUUAAUCGUUCAAAUCUAAAUAUAUAUUUGAAAAGAGUAUACGAUAUUAUAAAGGAUCGUAAAAAUCGAAAUAAUAUUUAAUUCUAUAUCGUCUUCUAGAAAGAACAUGAGCUAUGGUGAUAAAAUAUUCGAAUUAUUCCUCUAAUCUCAUUUAUAUCAUAAUUUAAAUUUGAAGAACUUACGAGUAUCGAUGAGAAAACCCACAGGGUCUUUAAUGAGGGAGUUGUUUUAAUUUCUUGACUUAAAUUCAUUGAUUCUAAGGAAGCCUUUACAAACAGACAUAAUUAUUAAUUGAUCCAAUUUCAACAGCAUAAAGUAGGAUCAUAGGAUAAGGGCUUAGACAGAAACAACUUUAUUCUUUUUCUUUUAUGAGCGAAUCCAAAAAUUUUAUGUUGGGAGUUGUUUUUCCGCAAGUGGUGGGAACGGGCAUCAAUUAUUGCUUAAAAGUUAAGCUUGUAAUUUACAAUCAAGGCAUCCAUCAUUUUCUUCAUCCUGGUUAAUGAUAAUUCGAGAUAAAUGUUCCAUUUCCAGUUAAAAUAAAAAUUUUCUCAAGUUAAUUGUUUGAGGAGUAAAUUUAAAAAUAAUAAUAAGAUUGUUUUCUAAAUUAUAAAAAUAAAGAUACAUCAAAAUUAAAAUUUUAAAAAUAUAAAAAUUUUAAAAAUUAACAUAGAAUACACAUAGAUUGCUAUGUAGGUUGUCGUGUUUAAAAAUUUAACAUUUUAAUUAGUAUUCUAGUUUUUUUUUAAAAAAAACAUCAUUUCAGCUCUUUUUCAAAACUAAUAAAUAAGAUUAGAAAACUAAAAAUCGAAUAAAGAAUCGAAUUUAACUAGAUGUUGAGGCUUGUUUUACACAGUUUCCUUAACACAAAUUUGUCCGCUUCUACGGUACUUGGAGAAACAUUGGUCGACUGUCUCCCAUGAUACAAUAACACGAUGACUGAAAUAGCAUCACCUUUACAUGAAAUUGGCUGAUAUUAUGACGAUACUAGGUAGCAUAGAUAUCAUUAUGGGAGAAGUGGAUCGUUGAAAUGAUAAUUUAUACGACAGAAGUAGAAUAUAUCAAUUCCUUUUACACAUUGGAAUCUUUAAAAGAGGUCUAUGGGAUCAUAUGGAUGUUGGUCCCUAUUUUGACUCUUGUUUUGGGAAUCACAAUAGGUGUACUAGUAAUUGUAUGGUUAGAAAGAGAAAUAUCUGCAGCAAUACAACAACGUAUUGGGCCUGAAUACGCCGGUCCUUUGGGCAUUCUUCAAGCGCUAGCAGAUGGAACAAAACUGCUUUUCAAAGAAAAUAUUUUUCCAUCUAGAGGCAAUACUCGUUUAUUUAGUAUUGGACCGGCUAUAGCAGUCAUAAGAGACCAAUGAACAAACCUUGCAUUUUUCUGUCACCGGAACGUUGGAAAAUAUAGAGAGGAAAAGAGAAGAAUUUUCGAGAGCAAAAUAAACUUGGUUUUAGAGAGUCUUUUAGUGUAAAAAAUUUGAAGAAUUCUUAAGCAUUCAAGAUGGAGGAAUUUUGGAAAUAUCCAUAAUUAAAUAUAUAAAAUUUGUAUUAAAUGAGCAAUUAAAUCAUAAUAUAUGUCUUUUUUAAAUUAGAUUUUAUAUAUAUUUGCUGAGAAAAAUAAAUUUUGUGUUGGGCUUAAAAUAUCUAUCCCUUUUUGGGCCUGACCAGUUUAGACAUUUCACGUUGCCUACGUCGUGCGAGUGCGCUCCAACCCCGAUGGGUUUGGAUCUACACCCCUGCGCGUGAGACAAAGUUUCAAACUUAGUCAUUCAAUCAUCCUUCAAGUGGGUUCUCAUAUAUAGAGACAUCUCACACUUGGUAUUCAAUCAAUGUGAGAUCUAAGCUUUUCUUUUCCUCAACAAAUAUUCACAAGUAACUUACUUUGAGCAUUAAUUUCUCACUUAUCACUCAACCAUUUUGAGCAUACGAUAUACUGUUGUAAAGAUAUCAUUGAGUAGAAUAUAAAAUCAUAAUUUUAUGAUUCAAUUCUCCACCUUUACCAAUUGAGAAUAUGCUUUAAAGUUUCCAAAAAUUACAAUUUUUUCAACAUUUUAUACAUCUAUUUUAAAGGCAUAAUUGAGCCAAGUAGAGCCCGAAUAAUGACAAGUUGAACUUGACUCGAACAUCACUUUUUAAGGUCAAUCUUGAUUUAGAACAUAAUUGAGUUGAUUAAGCUCGUUUAUCAAUUUUUAUAAUCAAACCCAUUCAUAAUUAAGCUCUUUCUAUAUAUCAAGGAUAAAAAUGUAACUUCAUAAAUAAAAAUAUAUUUAAAUGGAAUGCUUAAUUAGGUUUGUGGCCUACUUGAAUCAAGUAUUACAAUAUUUAAAUUCGACUCAACCAAUAGCUCGAGCUCUACUCAAUAAUUUUCAAUAAAAUUUUGAGAUUUUUUGAAUCCAACUCGAAUUGCUUGCAAAUAUUAAUGUAUCACUUAUGCUUUUAAUUUUAAAUUUACAUUUUUAAUUCUUAAAAUAUUAUUAAAACCCAAUCAAUUGAAGGCUUUGUAGAAAGUGGUGGCAAAGUGCAUCCUUUACUUUAGGUCUCACUAUAUCUAAAAAGAAAUUAAUGCGAACCGUAGAAAGUGGUAGGAAUGUGCAUCAUUAUUGCUUUAAAAGAAUUUAAAUCUUUAAACGGAUAGAAUUAAAUUUUCAUAAUUUGGAGGAGUUAAAGUGUACUUCUUUUUACUAUUUUAAAAUUUUAAAAUUUUAAAAUUUUUUAAAGAGUUAAAAUAACAUUUUUUAUUUUAAGAGGGCCGAGCUCCCUGUCAACCUCUAGAUUUACCUCCGUAAAUUUCAAAAUUCAGUUAAAUUAUGUUAUUUUGAAUAAAACGUUAAUUGAUAAAGAAAUUCUUUUAGUUUCAAAAAUUCAAUUUUUCUGUUUUAAAAAAAUAUAUAUUAAAAUUUAAAAUUUAAAAUAUUAAAGUAAUAAAAUUUAAAUAUAUCAAUGUCUUUUUGAUACAUGCAUGAAUGGGGUGAAACUUAUUAGAUUCCAAUCAUCAAAACUGCCAAUUUUCAGGCUCGGAAAAUCAGCAGACUUGCGGCGACUGGAUCCUGGUAUUUUUGGGUUGAGAUGUCUCAUGGCGUUUAAAGAUCUAUCUCUUAGCUUUGAAACGCAUUUUGAAUAACUCGAUUUUGAGUUCGGGAGCUCAAGUUAUGACCGUUUUAGUGAAGACUACGCGAGAAGAAUUUCUGAACGGGAUUAUGACGGGAAUUACAAAUUUCGGGCUUUUAAUUCGAGUUUAAAUCAUAUUGGAUUCGGGUUUUAGACUUAAUUUUUAUUAUAUAUGAGCCCAAUAUUAUAUUUGUCAGAUCUUAUUAUUUUAUUAUUAUUUUAUUCUAAUUUUUUUUAUAAUUAUUAAGUAUUUUAAGUUAUUAGAGUUCUAGUAUUUUAAGCUAUAAAGGCCAGAAAAAUGUAUUCUUGGGGGUGAUUUUUGAAGGUAAAAAAGCAACAGAAAAUCAAUACAAAAUAAUCAAAAAUUUCAAACAAAAAAAGAGAGAUUUAGAAGGUAGUUUUUUUUUCUCUGUUUUUGUUUGUUUUAUUUAUUAUUUUUUCUUUCUUUUUCUAAACAGAAACACAGAAAAUAAAACGGGACCGAAAACUCACCUUUUUAGAGGGAGGGCUGAGAGAGAGUUGAGCAAGAAGAGAAGGAUUUUUUUUUUAAAAAAAUGAGGUUACCAAUGAUUUUUUAAAGUUUUUUUAAAUUAUAUAAACACCCCAAAACGACGUCGUUUUGAGUUUGGCUUCUGACACUUAAAACGGCGUCGUUUCACCCUUGACCCGCGUGCGACCUGACUCGCUCCAUGGGGAUCCUCGUGUUUUCAAUUUUUAGGCUAUUUACGCCUCUGGUCAUCCCGCGUUUUCCGGUUGUUUUAAUUUAGUCCCUUUUUUACUUUUUUUCUCUUUAUAUAUUUGGCCAUUGAUUUUGUGGCGUGUUUUAAUUUAGUCUCUGGCUCGCUAAAAAGGACGCGUGUCAAGGAGAUCGGGUUAUUUUCCCAUUUGGUUCUCGUUUGUUUUCGGGCCUUUCGAAUUAGUCCUUUGUUCUUUUUUUAUCUUAAUUUAUCCUGCUAAUUUAAUUUGAGUAGCAAUCGGGUCCUUUAUUCAUUUAUUUUUGUGUAUCUUUAUUGUGUAUCUUUAUUUAUUUUGCUUUAUUAUUUUUACUUUAUUACUCCUUUUUAUAUAUUUGUUUAAAAUUGGAUUGUGUAUAUGUUUAUUAGUUUUUUUUUUCUUUUGGUUAUCAUUCUUUUACUUUUUAAAUAUUUAAAUCUAAUAUUAUGAACAUUUACUUUAUCUAUUUACUUAUUUAUUUAUUAUUCUUUUACUUUUCAAACGCUUAAAUUUAAUAUUAUUUACAUUUGUUUUAUCUAUUAUUCACUUAUUUUUUCUUUUACUUCUAAAGAAAUUUUAAAUUCGAUAUUAUUCGUAUUUGUUUUAUUAAUUUAUUUUUUAUAUUUCAAUUUAAUGAUAUUUGUUUUAUCUAUCCAUCAAUUUAUUAUAUAUAUAUAUAAUUAGAUACCACUUAUAUUCAUUAAGCAACUUUCAUUUUCAUUUAUAUUUUGAAUUAUUUUAUUUAUUGUGUUGUGGUGUUAUAAAUUGAUUUUUUUAUUAUUGCUAUAUUCACUGUUAUUGCCAUAGUAUUUGGUCAUUUAGUUGUCAUUUAGUAUCCUAAUAUAAAUCGUACUCAUAGUCAUAUCACAUUAUUUCAUUACCAUUGUAUUAUACACUAGGUUCACACAUAUUUAUCCAUUUUUUUAUAGACGAUGCCCGAAUUAAACAUGUAUGCCUUGUAAGUGUUACAUUAAUAUUUUAUUCGGUGCACAAAAAGAAAAUUAUUUUAAAUAAGUAAUAUUUCGUAUUUUAGAAUUCGUAAAUUCGUUCCUUAACUUACGGAGUUUCGAUCUUCUCGAUAAAUCUAAAUAAAUGAACCUUUUUUAAAAACAUAAGUUUUUAAAUAAUCUCAGGAAUUAAGAAGAGAUCGUGUUCUAACUUAAUGGAUAUGGUUUCAUUCUAAAACUGAGAUAAUCGAAUAUCUUUUAAAAUAAAUAAAUUUUCGGUGUUUAUUCUCGUUUCGAGGAUUUAAGGUAUUGCGUCCUAACUUACGGGAAGUAAUCCUUUUUCUCGAUUAACGUAAAAUAUUUUUUUGUAAAAAUUCAAUUAAGCGAUAUUGUAACAAAGGAUGGUAUUUUAAAUCUCUUUAAAGUUUUUAAUUUUCGACAUUAAAACAUUAAUUCAUCAAUUAGGUACCAAUUUUUGGCGAGACGAGUGUGCUAAUCUUUCUUCGCACAUAACCGACUCCCGAACCCGUUUUUCUUAAAUUUCAUAGACCAAAAUCAUUAUUUAAGUAAAAUCGAAACGUUUUAUUAAAAUGAUUAAAUUACAAGGUGAUCCGAUCACAUCUCGAAAAAAUAUCGGUGGCAACUCCAGUUUUUUCAUUUUCAUUUUUAAAAUAAAAGUAGACCCCUUUUGUUUCAAAAAUGGAGAAAGUGUGUUCCUAUCUUUUGUCAGCUUUACCAAAAGGGAAAAUAAUUGGCGAUAGAAUGUUGCUUUCUUUUGUCAACUUUUUAGCUGUAUCCACUAAAUGAUAAGAACUGCAUUCUCAAGUAUUUGUGUUUCUUUAGGAUUCUAUUGUUUACAUCUCAAUUUUUUUUUUACAUUGAGUUGCACUUUGUCAAAUUACUUCUCGCAUUACUCUGUUAAGAAAAUUAUCUUUUCGCUCGUUCGUAACUACGAGAACUAAUCGCUGAAUCCUUCUCUUAUUCGUUGGAAAGGUACGCCAUCUGCUUUCAUUUUGGUUGAUUUGGUCUUACUUCUUGGUUUACAGAAGCUUUACUUUUUGCUCAUUUGAUUUGUAACUUUUUCUUCUGAUUUUGUUUUAAUCUUUGUUGUCGCUGUGGUUAUUCAGUUUACUUCUUGUUUGACCUCUCAAUGGAGUCUGUUACUACCCUAGUUGGCUCUAUUGUCACUAAAGCUGUAGAGUAUACGAUCUCUCCUAUCAAAAACCAUGUCAAAUACCUUUCCAAUCAUCAGCAAUAUGUUGAGACCCUCAAGGACCGAGCUGAGAGGCUGAAAGAUGCAAGGGACAGAGUGCAGCAUUCUGUUGAUGCAGCUCAACGAAACGGUGAAGAGAUCGAAGGGGAUGUUGGCAAAUGGUUGUCUGCAGUCGACAAAAAGAUUCUUGAACAAGCAGAGAAAGUGAUGCAAGAUGAAGAAAAAGCAAAGAAAAAGUGUUUCAUUGGUUUGUGUCCUAAUUUCAGGACUCGUUACAAGCUUAGCCUGAAAGCCGAAGAGGAGGCAAAGGCUGUUGCCGAGCUACUUGAACAUGGCAAGUUUGAAAGGGUUUCCUAUCGUGCAGCUCCGCAAGGUAUCGUGGUUGCACCAGUUAAAGGUUAUGAGGAAUUCGAGUCAAGAACGUCCAUUUUCAAUGGAAUAAUGGAGGCACUAAAAGAUGAUAGCGUCAGCGUUGUUGGGGUGCAUGGUAUAGGUGGGAUUGGAAAAACAACGCUGGUCAAAGAAAUUGCUAGAAAGGUCAAGGACAAGUUGUUUGAUUCGGUUGUCAUAGCAACCGUAACUCAAGCCAUCGAUAUUGAGAAGAUUCAGAACCAAAUUGCAGACUUCUUGGGCUUGAAAUUUGAGGAACAGAGUAUGGUUGGAAAGGCAUUUCGACUACGAGAAAGAUUGAAGAAAGAGGAGAGGAUUCUGGUUGUCUUGGAUGACAUUUGGGGAAAGGUUGAUAUUGAGGAAGUAGGGAUUCCUUUGGGAGAUGAACACAAGGGCUGCAAAUUACUAUUAACUUCUAGAGAGCUCAAUGUUUUAUCAAAUGGGACGGAUGCUCAGAAAAAUUUUCCCAUUGGGUUUUUAAAUGAAAAGGAAGCCUGGGACCUGUUCAAGAAGAAGGCUGGCGACUGUGAUGAAAGUUGCGAUUUGAAGCCUAUAGCUAUGGGGGUAGCCAAAAAAUGUGCAGGACUGCCGAUAGCUAUUGCGACAGUUGCAGGGGCUUUGAGAAACAAAAGAUUGUUUGAAUGGAAGAAUGCUUUACGAGAACUGGAGAGGCCUUCGUCAAGCAACUUCACGGGGAUAACUGCGGCAUAUUCAGCUAUAGAGUGGAGUUUUAAUUAUUUAGAAAGCGAGGAAGUUAAGCGGACUUUCUUGCUUUGCAGUGUAAUAGGCCAUAAUGGUCUCGUUGAGGACUUGGUAAGAUACACUCUAGGUUUGGGUUUAUUUGAUGGUGUCAACACUAUGGAAGAAGCUAGAAAUAAAGUAUUGACGGUUGCGGCUAAUCUCAAAGCGUCUGCCUUGUUGCUUGAUAGUUAUAAUGAUAAGCGCUUUGAUAUCCAUGAUGUUGUUUGGGAUGCUGCUAUAGCUAUUGCAUUGAAGGACUACCGUAUGCUUGUUUUGAGAGAUCAUGCUCCAAAGGAGUGGUCCGAUAAGGAGAAAAUGAAGACGUGGAGUGUGAUCAGCUUACGUUGUCCUCAGAUUAUAGCUAACCUUCCUAAGGAGAUGGAGUGCUCAGGACUUUCCUUUUUCCACAUGGCCUAUAAUGGCGCGGUUAAAAUUCCUCUCAAUUUCUUCAAACAAACCGUAGGCCUGAAAGCCUUAGAUUUGGUCGGAAUGCAGUUUCCAUCCCUCCCUGAAUCAAUUAUUCACCUUGCAGAGCUUCACAUGUUGUGUCUAAAAGGAUAUGCAGUUGAUGACAUAACCAUCCUUGGAGAGCUCAAGAGUUUAGAAGUACCCAACCUUUCUCGCUUAGGUAUCAAAGAACUACCUAAGGAGAUGGCACAAUCGACUCAAUUAAGGUUGUUAGAUUUGCGUGGGUGUAGAGAACUCAAAAUCAUCCCACCGAAUGUCUUAUCAGGUUUGUCUAAAUUAGAAGAAUUAUAUAUGAGUAGGAGCUUUGUUGAAUGGGAAAAGGGAGGAGUAGUUGAAAAUGAGAGGAAAAAUGCAAGCCUUGAUGAAUUAAACAAUUUGCCUUGUCUAACUACUUUAUAUGUUGAUAUUCUUGAUGUCCAAAUGAUACCAAAACACCGGUUUGUAGAAACAUUGGACAGAUUCAGGAUUUUCGUAGGUAAUUAUGGAGGAUAUAAUUGUUGCCAGAAUUAUGAAUCUCCGAAAGCAUUGAAGCUCAAGUUAUAUACAAACAUUGAUUUGGACAAUGGGAUGAAAAUGUUGUUGAUAAAGACAGAAGAUUUGUGCCUAGAGGGACUUGAAGGCGUCAAGAAUGUACUUGUGGAGUUAAAUAAUGGGAAAGAUCUUUCAAAUUUAAAGAGAUUUCAUGUCAAAAAUGGUAGGCACGUCCAACAUAUCAAAAUGAACAAAAUUGGAUUUUCUGAAUUAUGCUUCGUUAAACUUGAAAAUCUACCGCAACUCGUUAGCUUUUGCUCUCCAGACGAAAGGUGUUCCACUAAGCCCUUAUUACUUUUCAAUAAACAGGUAUUUGUUUGGCUUUACUUAUAUUUUCUUAUACUACUUUUAUUUAUAUGCCCAUUAAUACUUCUAAUAGUAGAAAUAAAUAAUAUUGUGUAAUGGUUUCUCCGGAGCUCAAAAAUAAAUUUCAAAUCCAAAACAAAUUAAAAUUUAAUUUUUAAUCCAAACCGAUUCAAAAUCAAUUCAAUAAUCUAAAUUUAAAUCCAACAAUUUUUUUUAAUUCUGAGAAUAAAAUUUGAGCCCACAAAUCGAACUAAAAUUAUCUUUAAAAUAAAAAAUCAUAUUUUCAAAUUAUGUUACAUACUAUCUUUCCCUAUGGAAAAAGAAUUGUGUAAAUAUGUGCAAUUUAUUUUCCCUCACUUGGAAAGCUUGUAAUUGUGUUCCAUUAACACGAAAAGAAUAUGGCACAACCAGACAUGUCAUUGGGUUACGAAUUUGAGGAGCUUGAUCAUCAAAGGAUGCGGCAAGUUGGAGCAUCUGUUAUCACCCUCUCUCGCUAGAAGUCUGGUGCAGCUCCAAUGCUUUGAGAUAGAGGAUUGCAAUUGCUUAAGGGACAUAAUACUUACAGAGGAAAUUGAAGAAGCAAGGAAAGAUGUGAUUUGUUUCCCUCGAUUAAACUCCCUGCAUAUAGAUCGUCUUCCAAACCUCAUCUUCUUCAACUCAGGAAACCACAAUAUUGAGUUCCCAUUGUUGAAAGUGCUAAAGAUUCAGCGUUGCCCCAAGUUAAUAGAAUUCAUUAGUCAGAAUAGUAAUCAGUCCGGCAUGCACGCUCUCUUCAGUGAGAAGGUGAUUUAUUUCAUUAGUCUUACAUUCUUGCAUAAAUCUGUUGAUUUGUCCUUGUUUUUUUUUCUGCCUUCAUUAUUUGAGCUAACCUUAUCAUGGGCAUGGAUUAUAUAUAUAUAUAUAUAUGAAUAUAUAUGAAUAGGUUGCAGUUCCUAGCUUGGAAGACAUCAAUAUCUGGGACUUGAGUAAUGUGAAGAUGAUAUUUUAUAAUGACCUAGCACCAGGUUCCUUUAAAAAUAUACGAAAAAUAAAUGUUUGGGGAUGUGGGAGUUUGAAAAAUCUAUUUCCAGUAUCAAUAGCCAAAGAUCUUCCACAACUUGAACAUUUAAGCAUCACUGAUUGUGGAGUUGAGGAGAUUGUAUCGAAAGGGGAUGGAGUGGAGGAGCAGCCUGUGAGGUUUGAGUUUCCGCAAGUAUCUUUCCUUGAGGUUACAUGGGUAGAAAAGCUCAAAUGUUUCUAUGAAGGGCAACAUACAAUAGUCUGGCCGAUGUUGAAAAAAUUGAGAACAGAUAGUUCUGCUUUGCUAAAGAUAGUGGCAUCGGAACAUCUUAGAUUAAUCCAAGGAAAUAAGCAGCCAGUUUUGUUGGGUGAAGAGGUAUGUAUAUCAUUACAACUAUAUUUCAUUUUAUGAUUUAAACCACUGCCACAAGCAUCUCAAGUUGAAAUAUGCCACGAUAAUGCAUUUCUAAUUUUUAUAUUUUGUUUUAUUUGGAUUUUUUUUUCGUAUUUUUGAAUUUUCAAUAUAUAUUUUAAAUUUUUUGUUACAUUUAUAAUUAUUUUUUCAUUUUUUUUAAAAACAAGACUGAAUAAACAUAAUAAGUAAAUAUUGAGUGAAUGCAAUUCAAUUUAAUAAAAUGUAUAAAUAUUGAGAGUUAAAUUUAUUAUUAUGUAAAAAAAAAGCUUAAAAAAAUGAAAAUAUUUUAUUUGUUUUUAAGUAUCCAAAAUGAAAAUAUUUUAACACUAAGUGACUGUAUAUGUAAUUUACCCUGCAUUUAAGUAGUGGGUCAAAACUAAAUAGAACGUUUAAUUUGCUAAAAACAAUUGCCACUCAAUAAAAAAUCAAAACUUUAAAAGUUAAUUACACUAGACAUCUCAAACUAUGACCUUCAUUUUAAAUUAGUCUUAAAAUUUAAAAUAUUCUAAUUACAUUCUUAAACUAUUGAGGUUAUAUCAAUUACGUCUUUCUCUUAUUAAAUUCGUUAAUUUAACCAUCAAAUUAAAUCAAUGUAAUAUUUUAAAACCUUGGUGUUUUAUCUCCACUAUUCUGCUUAUAUUUUUUGUCAUAGAAAAAUAUAUAUAUAUAACAAUGGUUGUUUAUCUAUUUUAAUCUAGAUUUGCUACUCUUCUUUCGGCUUUCAUGUUCUGUAAUUUUUAUCAGUUUUUAUUCUCAAGGUAUUGUGUUUUCUUAAAACAAAAAAUUCAUCUACUCUGGAUUCAUUUGAUUUAAUAUUGAUUUUGUUGGGAUUUAAUCAUCAAAAUCAAACACUAAAAUUGUAAAUCUCUUUUUUUUGUUUGUUUGUUUUUUUAAAGCAUAUACAUCAACAUUGAGCCUAACUUGUAUAUGUUUAAUUGGUUUCCAAGGUCAUUCCCAAAUUAGAGGAACUUGAGUUACGAAAUUUUGGUGAUAUGGACCAAUUUCCACCAGACUUGUUUCAACAUAUUAAAGUUUUUGCACUGAGUGGUGGCUCUCCAUUUUCUUUGUUUCCUUUCGUCCGAAGAUUCUACAAUCUGAAAAGACUUGAGGUUUCUAAUUUUGAUUUCAAACAUGUAGUCCCUUGUAAAGGAGACGUCGGGACUCUCCCAUCAAUUAGAAAUCUGAAAUUGGUUUCUGCCAGAAAUCUUAAGCGUAUUUGGAGGAAAGAUUCGGAGCUUGACCAUAUUCUUUCUGAUCUUCAAACACUCACAAUUCACAAUUGUGAUGAUUGGAUAAACAUUAGAGUCUUCUCAUCAUCUUUACAAAAUCUCACAAUUUUGAAUGUGUCACUUUGUAAAAUGAUGACAAACUUAGUUACACCCUCAGUACUUCAGAAUCUUGUGCAAUUAACGACAAUGAUCGUAAGAGGGUGCACUAAAAUGACAGAAAUAGUGGGAAACGAGGGAGACUGUCAUCAGACAAUAGUUGUUAGUAAAUUGAAAUGUUUACAACUAUGCAAUUUGAAGAGCCUCACAAGCUUUUGUCCAUGGUAUUACAACUUCGAGUUUCCUUGUUUGGAAGAAUUAGUUGUGGAACAUUGUCCUUGGUUAAAGAUCUUUUCUGAGGGAGUUUUAAGCACCCCACAAUUACAGAGAAUAAAACAGUCGCAUUACGGUGAGAAAUGGAGUUGCAAGUGAGAGUGGUGAUGCAAGUGAAAGCGUGGUUGGCGAAGGGGGCAUCUAUGAUAACACUGCAACUUUUUUCAGCAAUAAGGUAAGUUUGGUAUUCAAUAUUUAUCUGCACAACUUAUUUCACAUUUUCUUUUGAUUUGAUCAACAUGAGUGUGUCUGGUCUAUAUAUACAUACUAGUGCUACACCUUGUCAAAAUUGAAUAUAAUAAAAUCCAUAAAAAUAUUAAUAAAUAAGACAAUAUUUAAAAGAAAAACUGGAGUUUAAAAGUAUAAAUAAAUAUAUAAAAUAAGAAUUGAAGGAAAAACUUAAAGUGAAAUACUAAAAAACAAUAAGAAUUUAAGAGAAGUUUAAAAUUAAAUAGUAAUAGACAAUAAAUAAUAAAAUAACAAUAGAAAAAAGAAAACUAAUCUUCCUUUAUUUUAAUUUGUGGGUGUAUAAGAAGGAGAUAAUUGUGGAAGACCUUCACAAAGGUCAUUUGAGAUCAAAGGAGAAGAAGCAUGAAAACAAAAGGUGAGGAGUUUGAAGAAGAAAGAACCAAAUAUAUGGGUUUGAUUUAAAGAUUUAAUGUUUUUUUUUUAAUUUCAUAUAUAGAAAAAAUCAUUGAAAGAAAAAAAAAGUUCAAUAUAAUUACUUAAAUUUACCUGUCGGUUUUUAUAAAAGUAACUUAAAUUUUUGAUUAAUUAUGAAAAUGACUCAAUUUAAAAAUUAUGUACAUAAAUUAUUCGAUUUCUAUAGUGUUUGUCGGUGCCCCCAGACACAAUGGCGAUAUCAGACUGAAGUGUGAUUAUAUAAAAUGAUUGUAUUUAUGUACAUAAUUUUUAGUAGUGUUGUUGGAAAAAUUGGCGAUAUCAGACUGAAGUGUGAUUAUAUAAAAUGUUCAUGGACUUAACGAAGUAAUUACCCUUUUUUAAUUAGCGGAAAAAGGGGUCUUCCGGUGAAUAUGGGGCACCAAAUUAAAUGAUUUUCAUCUUUUGGUCUAUUUGCAUGUUUCCCUUUUUGAAAUUAAAUUUAGAUAACCCUUAAGAAAUAUAAGAAUAACAAAAAGAAAUCAUUCUCAUUUAUUUUAUUUUAUUUUUAAAAAAUAAACUUAAAAAAUUAUAUAAAAUGCUUAUUUAAAUUACCCAAAUAUAUCCCUCACACAACUUCCUCAAGUUUAUCUAAAUUCAAGCAUUUUCAAUUCAUUCCCUAGAAUAUUUAAAUUUAGAUAAACUUAAGGAAAUUUUUUGAGGAAUAUAUUUGGGUAAUUUGAAUAAGAAUUUUAUAUAAUUUUUUAAGUAUUUUUUUUCAAAAAAAAUGAAAAUGUUAUAGUUUUGUUAUUAUUAUAUUUUUAAGUGCUAUUUAAAUCUAACUUCAAAAGAGGACAAACGUAACAUGCAAAUAGGUCAAAUGUUGAAAAACAUUUAAUUUGGUUCAGAUACCAACGACACCCCUUUUUCAACCAAUCUAAAACCGUUAACCGCUUCAAAAGAUCCCUGCACGUUUUAUAUAAUCACAUUCAGUCUGGUGCCGUCAAUUUAUUAGGCAAAACCACUACAAUCUUUUUUAAAAAGCAAUCAUUGGCUGAUGAUGGAGGUCAAUGCAAUAAGCACGAUAGAUAUCAAGUCAUUUACGUAUAUGAUUUUUAAGUUGGAUCAUUUUCGUAAUUAACCAAAAAAUUUUGGUUACUUUUAACUGCCUAGUUGAUAUGUGAAUAUUAACCUUUAGAUCAGUUUAUAAAUCUUCAUACUCAUCUACUCAUUUUGAUUGUCUUUCAAAGUACAGAAGGAAGACUGAUACUAUCUUAUAAUAAUAUUUAUGUCAACAGGUUGUCGUUCCUCGUUUGGAGCGUCUGGAUUUGUCCUCGAUCAACAUUCAUAAGAUAUGGCACCACUCAUCCUCCCCAUCUAUCGGAUACCUAAAUUUCUUGCGGGUGAAGAGGUGUCACAAUUUGAAAUACCUGUUCCCGUUUUUCUUAGCAAAAGAUCUUGAGCAACUCCGAUUCCUUGGAAUUUUGGACUGUAAUAUGAUGGAACAAGUAAUAUUCACGGAUGGAUUGGUUGAGGAACAUCAAGGGAGGAAUCAGAUGUUUUUCUUUAAUCUACAUUCGCUGUGGCUAAACGACCUUCCCAAAACUCACAAGUUUGUGCUUUGAAAAUUACUUUGAAUUUCACUGUUUAGCAGAUUUAACACUAAGAAAUUGUCCAUUGCUAAAAACAUUCAUCUCUAAAUGUGUACCCGGAGAUGAACCUCAAAUUGGCCAACAUGUACAGGCAAGUAACUUGGAGGUUCAUAACUCAUCUCUCCUCAAUGAAAAGGUAAUUUCUUCAAGGAUCCUCCUUUUAAUUUAUGUUACUUCGAUUGAUUUUAUUCAUUUGAAGUUCUUUC